GGAACGGUGGCCGAGCGGACGAAGGCAACGGCCUUGAAAGUCGUCGACCCGCAAGGGUCCGUGGGUUCGAAUCCCACCCGUUCCG
rnacentral:tRNA from 1 species